rnacentral:lncRNA from 1 species
GAUGAAAUAUUAUGAAAAACCAAAUGUUCUCUAAAAACAUCUGCUUCUCUUGAUAGGCUAUAUCACCAUUCCAAUGUCGGACAUAGAAGGAAAUAAAGGAGCAGAUAAAUCUAACCUGUUGUAAUUAUGGAUACCUUUGGAAAUGGAAUAAGAGGAGAGUCACAUUGGGAAGCUUAGUUUUCUUUGGAGAGGGUGGCGAAGGGCAGAGGCAGAGGGAGAAGCAGACUUCCUGCUGAAUGCAGAGCUCAACACAUGGCCUAAUCCCAGGACCCUGAGAUCAUGGCCUGAGCUGAAAUCAAGAGUGAAAUGCUUAACCAACUGAGCCACCCAGUGUUGUCGCUCUUGCCUCAGAGGGUGUUCCCACCCUCCUUUCCAG